UUUUAGCCCUGAUUGAAAUGGCAUCCUUUUUUCUUUUUCGGAAAAAAGAUAUAAUGGAAAGCAGGAAAUAGC
rnacentral:sRNA from 1 species